rnacentral:rRNA from 1 species
GACGAACGCUGGCGGCGUGCCUAAUACAUGCAAGUAGAACGCACAGUUUAUACUGUAGCUUGCUUCACCAUAGACUGUGAGUUGCGAACGGGUGAGUAACGCGUAGUUAACCUUCUUGGUAGCGGGCGAUAACUAUUGGAAACGAUAGCUAAUACCGCCUAAUAUUUAUUAUUUCAUGAUAAUUAAUUGAAAGGUGCAAUUGCACCACUACCUAAUGGACUUGCGUUGUAUUAGCUAGUAGGUGAGGUAACGGCUCACCUAGGUGACGAUACAUAGCCGAACUGAGAGGGUGAUCAGACACACUGGGACUGAGACACGGCACAGACGCCUACGGAAAGCAGCAAUAGGGAAACUUCAGCAAUGGACGAAAGUCAGACCGAGCAAGGCCGAGUGAGUAAGGAAGAAUUUCGGAUGGUAAAGCACUGUUGUAAGAGAAGAAAGGGUGUGAGAGUGGAAAGGUCACACUGUGACGGUAUCUGACCAGAAAGGGACGGAUAACUACGUG